rnacentral:rRNA from 1 species
AUGCUCUUCGCGAUAGUCAUUGACACUCUGAACAGUCUCCUGCAGCACGCCGUGUCUGUCGGCCUGCUCCAGCGCCUCACCACCUGUCACGCCGCGUCGAGCAUAUCCCUUUUUGCCGACGAUGUGGUCAUAUUCUGCCACCCAGAUCCCCAGGAGUUGGCUACCAUCCGCGAGCUCCUGAGCGUCUUCGGCGACGCCUCCGGGCUCCGCACUAAUUUUCUGAAGUGCCCGGCAACGCCAAUCCAAUGCGCCUCGGAGGUUUCGGCCACUAUCGCUGCCACGCUUUUGUGUAGCGUAACCACUUUUCCCAUCCCCUACCUUGGGCUACCCUUAUCGAUCCGCAAGACCCAUGCAACGGCGCUCCUCCCGCUUGUGGACCGACUGAUCAAAAAGCUUGCAACUCGGAAAGCUACUCUGUUCUCGCGUGCCGAGAGGCUGGCCCUUGUUCGACACAUGCUCAUGGCCAUGCCCGGCCACAUCCUGCUCGCCAUGUCCAUAAACCCUCCUAUCAUCAAGAAGAUCACCAAGGUGGUCCGCGACUUCCUGUGGCAUGGGCGCAAGGACGCCAGGGCUGGCUGCUGCCUUGUCAGCUAG